rnacentral:tRNA from 1 species
GUAUCCGUAGCUCAGCUGGAUAGAGCACAGGCCUCCGACGCCUGGUGCCGUUGGUUCGAAUCCAAUCGGGUACACCA